GUGAAUUUUAAUGAUCUUGAAUUCUUGUGGUGUGACUCAACAAAUGUACUUCUACCAUUUAUUUUAAUUGCAAAAAUGACAAUUCUUCAGUAAUAAAACAACUUUAUGUAAAUACAUAUUUGUAUUUGAAGAUCUAGGAAAUAAGGGUAGAAGCAUUAUCUAGGAUAUGCAGAGAAGUUCAGAAUAUAAAAAUGUUAAAUUUAUAGGACAGUAUAGAGUAAUAGAAGUAAUUCUGUAAUUUGAAAGCCUGAUUUAGUAGGCAUGUUGUUUGGCAGCUAUAUAGCAGCAAGCUAUUUGUAUAUUUAAAAUCACCAGACUUUU
rnacentral:lncRNA from 1 species